rnacentral:rRNA from 1 species
UACGUAGGUGGCAAGCGUUGUCCGGAUUUAUUGGGCGUAAAGCGCGCGCAGGCGGUCCUUUAAGUCUGAUGUGAAAUCUUGCGGCUCAACCGCAAGCGGUCAUUGGAAACUGGGGGACUUGAGUACAGAAGAGGAAAGUGGAAUUCCACGUGUAGCGGUGAAAUGCGUAGAGAUGUGGAGGAACACCAGUGGCGAAGGCGACUUUCUGGUCUGUAACUGACGCUGAGGAGCGAAAGCGUGGGGAGCGAACAGG